UGUUCUGGUCAGGUGACAUUUUAUGUGACA
rnacentral:piRNA from 1 species